GGAGAUGUUGCUGAGAUGGGUGCAUUAAAGUCUAGGUUUUCCAGAGUUUAUUUUGCUAACAACUUAAAGGGAAAAAGCUAACUAGAGAGCUGACUGGUCUUACUUGUUUUUGAUUCUGGGCUUUACUAGGACUUCCUACACUCAGAAUCUAUAAACGCUGGGUGGGGUGGGAGCUGGGAAUGUUAUUCUGGGAAAUUAAUCACAAAUGAAAAGAAAAUCAACUCUAAGACUCCAGUUAGAAGAUUUUUGAAAAUGGCAGAACAUGACUGGCCUUCAUUCAAGUCAGAAUAUUUAAAGCAAUCCUUGCUAAGGAGAACUUGAUUUUGUAUAAGCAGUCCCUUAAAUACAGUUGCUUCUCAGGAAAACCACACACA
rnacentral:lncRNA from 1 species